UACGUAGGGACCGAGCGUUGUCCGGAAUCAUUGGGCGUAAAGAGCGUGUAGGCGGCUUGUUAAGUCUUGCGUGAAAUCUCGGGGCUCAACCCCGAGCGGUCGUGAGAAACUGGCAGGCUAGAGUGCGGGAGGGGAGAGCGGAAUUCCUGGUGUAGCGGUGAAAUGCGUAGAGAUCAGGAGGAACACCCAUGGCGAAGGCAGCUCUCUGGCUUCACCCUGACGCUGAGGCGCGAAAGCGUGGGGAGCGAACGGG
rnacentral:rRNA from 1 species